CCUACGGGUGGCAGCAGUGAGGAAUAUUGGUCAAUGGGCGCGAGCCUGAACCAGCCAAGUCGCGUGAGGGAAGACGGCCCUACGGGUUGUAAACCUCUUUUGCCGGGGAGCAACGGGCGCCACGUGUCGCGCCACAGAGAGUACCCGGAGAAAAAGCAUCGGCUAACCCCGGGCCAGCAGCCGCGGUAAUACGGGGGAUGCGAGCGUUAUCCGGAUUUAGUGGGUUUAAAGGGUGCGUAGGCGGCGUGUUAAGUCAGUGGUAAAAUUGAGGGGCUCAACCCCUUCCCGCCAUUGAAACUGGCGCUCUUGAGUGGAAGAGAAGUAUGCGGAAUGCGUGGUGUAGCGGUGAAAUGCAUAGAUAUCACGCAGAACCCCGAUUGCGAAGGCAGCAUGCCGGCUUCCGACUGACGCUGAAGCACGAAAGCGUGGGGAUCGAACAGGAUUAGAUACCCGAGUAGUC
rnacentral:rRNA from 1 species